CUGGGCUAGACAACGGCGGACCGUCCAUGAAAGUGGAUUUUCCUUUCGGGGACCGCCGGUUCAGGUGCUGCAUGGCUGUCGUCAGCUCGUGCCGUGAGGUGUUGGGUUAAGUCCCGCAACGAGCGCAACCCUCGCCCUUAGUUGCCACCAUUCAGUUGGGCACUCUAGGGGGACUGCCGGCGUUAAGCCGGAGGAAGGUGGGGACGACGUCAAGUCAUCAUGGCCCUUAUGUCCAGGGCCACACACGUGCUACAUUGGCCGGUACAAAGGGCUGCAAAACCGCGAGGUUGAGCGAAUCCCAAAAAGCCGGUCCCGGUUCGGAUUGGAGGCUGCAACUCGCCUCCAUGAAGGCGGAGUUGCUAGUAAUCGCGGAUCAGCAACGCCGCGGUGAAUACGUUCCCGGGCCUUGUACACACCGCCCGUCACACCACGAAAGUCGGCAACACCCGAAGCCGGUGGGCUAACCCCUUUGGGGAGGCAGCCGUCGAAGGUGGGGUCGAUGAUUGGGGUG
rnacentral:rRNA from 1 species